rnacentral:rRNA from 1 species
AGUCGGCAAAAUAGGUCCGUAACUUCGGGAAAAGGACUGGCUCUGAGGUUUGGUAUGUGGAACCUGGAUUAAUCGUUGGA